CGCAAGCCUGACGGAGCAAGACCGCGUGGGGGAGGAAGGCUCUAGGGUUGUAAACCCCUUUUCUUUGGGAAGAACAAAAUGACGGUACCUGACGAAUCAGCAUCGGCUAACUCCGUGCCAGCAGCCGCGGUAAUACGGAGGAGGCAAGCGUUAUCCGGAAUGAUUGGGCGUAAAGCGUCCGCAGGUGGCAAUGUAAGUCUGCUGUCAAAACCCAGGGCUCAACUCUGGUCAGGCAGUGGAAACUACAUAGCUAGAGGGCGGUAGGGGCAGAGGGAAUUCCCGGUGUAGCGGUGAAAUGCGUAGAGAUCGGGAAGAACACCGGUGGCGAAAGCGCUCUGCUGGGCCGCAACUGACACUGAGGGACGAAAGCUAGGGGAGCG
rnacentral:rRNA from 1 species